rnacentral:misc_RNA from 1 species
CUUGUGUUCAAUAGUUAAAGAUAUAUGCGUAUUUAAAGUUUGCCACCAUUUACAAACAACCAUGCAUGAUGGUCUAACUCGUGUUAGCUAAAGUAGAACUGAAUGCAAUUUGGCUGAGUUAUUUAGUUGUAUCAGGUUCAUGACACCUAGCAGUGUAUCGGUA